rnacentral:rRNA from 1 species
UUGAACGCUGGCGGCAGGCCUAACACAUGCCAGUCGCACGGUAACAGGAAGCAGCUUGCUGCUUCGCUGACGAGUGGCGGACGGGUGAGUAAUGUCUGGGAAGCUGCCUGAUGGAGGGGGAUAACUACUGGAAACGGUAGCUAAUACCGCAUAAUGUCGCAAGACCAAAGAGGGGGACCUUCGGGCCUCUUGCCAUCGGAUGUGCCCAGAUGGGAUUAGCUUGUUGGUGGGGUAACGGCUCACCAAGGCGACGAUCCCUAGCUGGUCUGAGAGGAUGACCAGCCACACUGGGACUGAGACACGGUCCAGACUCCUACGGGAGGCAGCAGUGGGGAAUAUUGCACAAUGGGCGCAAGCCUGAUGCAGCCAUGCCGCGUGUAUGAAGAAGGCCUUCGGGUUGUAAAGUACUUUCAGCGGGGAGGAAGGGAGUAAAGUUAAUACCUUUGCUCAUUGACGUUACCCGCAGAAGAAGCACCGGCUAACUCCGUG